rnacentral:rRNA from 1 species
UACAGAGGGGGCAAGCGUUGUUCGGAAUUACUGGGCGUAAAGGGCGUGUAGGCGGCCAACUAAGUCCGACGUGAAAUCCCCAGGCUUAACCUGGGAACUGCGUCGGAUACUGGAUGGCUUGAAUCCGGGAGAGGGAUGCAGAAUUCCAGGUGUAGCGGUGAAAUGCGUAGAUAUCUGGAGGAAUACCGGUGGCGAAGGCGGCAUCCUGGACCGGCAUUGACGCUGAAGCGCGAAAGCUAGGGGAGCAAACGGG